rnacentral:misc_RNA from 1 species
UGUUAGCCCCAUCCAUGUAUACCUGCCCACCGUUCUCAUGAAUUAUCCUGCAUAUCUCAUCAAUGCCUUCUUCAUAGACUCCAUGGGUCGAAGGAUAGGUAACCAUAAGAGCAGCCAAGUUGUCCUUGUUUGCUUCAGCAGCUUUCCUCAACUCCUCGAUGUUAAUGUUACCUUUGGAAUCAGUUCCAACAGCAACGAUCUUCAUUCCACACAUAGCAGCACUUGCAGGAUUUGUACCAUGGGCUGACACAGGAAUGAUACAGACGUCCCGGUGGUAGUCUCCUCUUGCCCUGUGGUAAGCACGGAUAACCAUCAAUCCGGCAUACUCCCCUGAUGCACCAGCAUUUGGUUGCAAAGAG